UUACGGCCACAGCAUUUUGAAACACCGGUUCCUGUACGUUCACCGAAGUUAAGCAACAUCGCGCCUGGUCAGUAUCUAGAUGGGUGACCACUUAAGGAUAGCAGAUGCUGCAAG